AUACGUAGGUGGCAAGCGUUGUCCGGAAUUAUUGGGCGUAAAGCGCAUGUAGGCGGUUUGGUAAGUCGGUCGUGAAAAUGCGGUGCUUAACGCCGUAUGGCGAUUGAAACUGCUGAACUUGAGUGCAGGAGAGGAAAGGGGAACUCCCAGUGUAGCGGUGAAAUGGGUAGAUAUUGGGAAGAACACCGGUGGCGAAGGCGCCUUGCUGGAGUGUGUCUGACACUCAGAUGCGAAAGCCAGGGGAGCGAACGGGAUUUGAUACCCCGGUAGUCCUGGCCGUAAACGAUGGGUACUAGGUGUGGGAGGGACCGACUCCUUCCGUGCCGGAGUUAACGCAAUAAGUACCCCGCCUGGGGAGUACGGCCGCAAGGCUUAAACUCAAAUGAAUUGACGGGG
rnacentral:rRNA from 1 species